rnacentral:rRNA from 1 species
UAGGGAAUCUUCGGCAAUGGGGGGAACCCUGACCGAGCAACGCCGCGUGAGUGAAGAAGGUUUUCGGAUCGUAAAGCUCUGUUGUUAAGGAAGAACGAGUGUGAGAAUGGAAAGUUCAUACUGUGACGGUACUUAACCAGAAAGGGACGGCUAACUACGUGCCAGCAGCCGCGGUAAUACGUAGGUCCCGAGCGUUGUCCGGAUUUAUUGGGCGUAAAGCGAGCGCAGGCGGUUAGCUAAGUCUGAAGUUAAAGGCAGUGGCUCAACCAUUGUAGGCUUUGGAAACUGUUUAACUUGAGUGCAGAAGGGGAGAGUGGAAUUCCAUGUGUAGCGGUGAAAUGCGUAGAUAUAUGGAGGAACACCGGUGGCGAAAGCGGCUCUCUGGUCUGUAACUGACGCUGAGGCUCGAAAGCGUGGGGAGCGAACAGG